rnacentral:rRNA from 1 species
CAGUCGCCACGGUAAUACGAAGGGGGCUAGCGUUGUUCGGAAUGACUGGGCGUAGAGGGCGCGUAGGCGGUUUGUACAGUUGGAUGUGAAAUUCCUGGGCUUAACCUGGGGGCUGCAUUCAAUACGUGCAGGCUUGAGUGGGGAAGAGGGUCGUGGAAUUCCCAGUGUAGUGGUGAAAUUCGUAGAUAUUGGGAAGAACACCGGUGGCGAAGGCGGCGACCUGGUCCUUGACUGACGCUGAGGCGCGAAAGCGUGGGGAGCAAACAGGAUUAGAUACCCCCGUAGUCCCUGUCUCUUAUAC